UACAGAGGUGCCAAGCGUUAGGCGGAAUCACUGGGCUUAAAGGGCGUGCAGGUGGUCUGUUAAGUCUGGCGUGAAAGCUCUCGGCUAAACCGGGAGAGGUCGUUGGAUACUGGCGGACUAGAGGACGGUAGAGGCGUGUGGAAUUCCGGGUGUAGUGGUGAAAUGCGUAGAGAUCCGGAGGAACACCAGUGGCGAAGGCGACACGCUGGGCCGUACCUGACACUAAAACGCGACAGCAUGGGGAGCGAACGGG
rnacentral:rRNA from 1 species